UAACAUAGAAUUUAUUGAAAGGAAUGCGUUUGAAUCACUACCUUUUUUACAAUAUAUAAAUCUUGGUUGCAAUUCAAUCACAAAAGUGAACUUUGGAACAUUUCAAGCCUCACAUGGAAUGCAGUUUUUACACAAGUUAAUCCUCAAUCGUAAUCCUCUGACAACCGUUCAAGAUCCAUAUCUUUUUAAUUUGCCAGCAUUGAAAUAUUUAGACAUGGGAGCAACCCAAGUGUCAUUUACAACAGUUGAUAACAUCCUCAAGAUGACCCUUACACUGGAAAAACUGU